CAGUAGCCGCGGGAAUACAGAGGGUGCGAGCGUUAAUCGGAUUUACUGGGCGUAAAGCGCACGUAGGCGGCUUUGUAAGUUAGAGGUGAAAGCCUGGAGCUCAACUCCAGAAUUGCCUUUAAGACUGCAUCGCUUGAAUCCAGGAGAGGUGAGUGGAAUUCCGAGUGUAGAGGUGAAAUUCGUAGAUAUUCGGAAGAACACCAGUGGCGAAGGCGGCUCACUGGACUGGUAUUGACGCUGAGGUGCGAAAGCGUGGGGAGCAAACAGGAUUAGAUACCCGUGUAGUCCCUGUCUCUUAUAC
rnacentral:rRNA from 1 species